rnacentral:rRNA from 1 species
AGAGUUUGAUCCUGGCUCAGGAUGAACGCUAGCGGGAGGCUUAACACAUGCAAGUCGAGGGGCAGCAUAGAGUAGCAAUACUUUGAUGGCGACCGGCGCACGGGUGAGUAACGCGUAUGUAACCUACCCUGUACAGGGGGAUAGCCCGGAGAAAUUCGGAUUAAUACCCCAUAAUGAUAUUUGGAGGCAUCUUUGAAUAUUUAAAGCUUCGGCGGUACGGGAUGGGCAUGCGUGACAUUAGCUAGUUGGUAAGGUAACGGCUUACCAAGGCUUCGAUGUCUAGGGGUCCUGAGAGGGUGAUCCCCCACACUGGUACUGAGACACGGACCAGACUCCUACGGGAGGCAGCAGUGAGGAAUAUUGGUCAAUGGGCGUAAGCCUGAACCAGCCAUCCCGCGUGAAGGAAGAAGGCGCUAUGCGUCGUAAACUUCUUUUCCGGAGGAAUAAAAUUUCGUACGUGUACGGAACUGAAGGUACUCUGGGAAUAAGCAUCGGCUAACUCCGUGCCAGCAGCCGCGGUAAUACGGAGGAUGCGAGCGUUAUCCGGAUUUAUUGGGUUUAAAGGGUGCGUAGGCGGAUUAAUAAGUCAGUGGUGAAAACCUUCAGCUUAACUGGAGAACUGCCAUUGAUACUGUUAGUCUUGAGUACGGUCAAGGUAGGCGGAAUGUGUAAUGUAGCGGUGAAAUGCUUAGAUAUUACACAGAACACCGAUUGCGAAGGCAGCUUACUGGGCCAUUACUGACGCUGAUGCACGAAAGCGUGGGGAGCGAACAGGAUUAGAUACCCUGGUAG